rnacentral:rRNA from 2 species
UGAGUGAGUGGCGGACGGGUGAGUAACACGUGGGUAACCUGCCCUAAAGUGGGGGAUAACAUUUGGAAACAGAUGCUAAUACCGCAUAAAACCUAACACCGCAUGGUGUAGGGUUGAAAGAUGGUUUCGGCUAUCACUUUAGGAUGGACCCGCGGUGCAUUAGUUAGUUGGUGAGGUAAAGGCUCACCAAGACCGUGAUGCAUAGCCGACCUGAGAGGGUAAUCGGCCACACUGGGACUGAGACACGGCCCAGACUCCUACGGGAGGCAGCAGUAGGGAAUCUUCCACAAUGGACGAAAGUCUGAUGGAGCAACGCCGCGUGAGUGAAGAAGGUUUUCGGAUCGUAAAACUCUGUUGUUGGAGAAGAAUGUAUCUGAUAGUAACUGAUCAGGUAGUGACGGUAUCCAACCAGAAAGCCACGGCUAACUACGUGCCAGCAGCCGCGGUAAUACGUAGGUGGCAAGCGUUGUCCGGAUUUAUUGGGCGUAAAGCGAGCGCAGGCGGUUUCUUAAGUCUGAUGUGAAAGCCUUCGGCUCAACCGAAGAAGUGCAUCGGAAACUGGGAAACUUGAGUGCAGAAGAGGACAGUGGAACUCCAUGUGUAGCGGUGAAAUGCGUAGAUAUAUGGAAGAACACCAGUGGCGAAGGCGGCUGUCUGGUCUGUAACUGACGCUGAGGCUCGAAAGCAUGGGUAGCAAACAGGAUUAGAUACCCUGGUAGUCCAUGCCGUAAACGAUGAGUGCUAGGUGUUGGAGGGUUUCCGCCCUUCAGUGCCGCAGCUAACGCAUUAAGCACUCCGCCUGGGGAGUACGACCGCAAGGUUGAAACUCAAAGGAAUUGACGGGGGCCCGCACAAGCGGUGGAGCAUGUGGUUUAAUUCGAAGCAACGCGAAGAACCUUACCAGGUCUUGACAUCCUUUGACCACUCUAGAGAUAGAGCUUUCCCUUCGGGGACAAAGUGACAGGUGGUGCAUGGUUGUCGUCAGCUCGUGUCGUGAGAUGUUGGGUUAAGUCCCGCAACGAGCGCAACCCUUAUUACUAGUUGCCAGCAUUUAGUUGGGCACUCUAGUGAGACUGCCGGUGACAAACCGGAGGAAGGUGGGGACGACGUCAAAUCAUCAUGCCCCUUAUGACCUGGGCUACACACGUGCUACAAUGGAUGGUACAACGAGUUGCGAGACCGCGAGGUUUAGCUAAUCUCUUAAAACCAUUCUCAGUUCGGAUUGUAGGCUGCAACUCGCCUACAUGAAGCCGGAAUCGCUAGUAAUCGCGGAUCAGCAUGCCGCGGUGAAUACGUUCCCG